UACGUAGGGAGCAAGCGUUGUCCGGAAUCAUUGGGCGUAAAGCGCGCGUAGGCGGCCUCAUAAGUCCGUUGUGAAAGUCAAAGGCUCAACCUUUGAAAGCCGAUGGAUACUGUGAGGCUAGAGUUCGGAAGAGGCGAGUGGAAUUCCUGGUGUAGCGGUGAAAUGCGCAGAUAUCAGGAGGAACACCAAUUGCGAAGGCAGCUCGCUGGGACGUAACUGACGCUGAGACGCGAAAGCGUGGGGAGCAAACAGG
rnacentral:rRNA from 1 species